rnacentral:lncRNA from 1 species
UUAACUGAAUAUAGGAAACUGCUAUGUUUUGUUUGAAAAGAAGAACAUUACACAUUGAAGAAUUAGUAUUUUUUGACAGAUGAUGUGAAUGCUACGACGACUGCUCGACAUGUUGGAGAGAGAAUAGAGGAUAUAGGCUUAUCAGAUGCCAAUGAACAUGCAAAUCCCAUGAGGUAAUUGUACUUUCUACAUUUAGUGUGGCAAUGAGGGAAGAUACUAUUUGUAUGAACAUGUUCCAGUGAAAGAAGAAAAAAAGGAAUAACCUGAAUGUAUUCGGCUGAGAAGCCACAUGCUCACUCACAUCCUCUUCACUGAUUCGUCAUCUGCAGAUACCCUCUCAUCGUCUUCAGCUGAUGCUUCAACCUCGUCCUCUAUCACUUUAUCUUCUUCUUCCUCUUCAGGUUGAUGAGAACUCUUGUCAAAUUGAUCCUCUUUCGAUGAGCACUCAGCAUGAUCUCUUCCUUGUAACCUUUGACCACUCACAGUGUCUUUAUCUAGAUACUUGUAAACUGCAUUCUCCGCACGGACGGCCUCCUCUCUCGAUGAUUUAGAUUUGAGCGCUACAACUAGGAACCAACAAAAUGGAUUUGAGAGAUCCUCACUACCACCGAACUCAGGAGUCAAACACUCUUCAUGAAACCGAAGAAGACAGUCAACCCAAGAACAACUUGAUGCUCCCUCUUCUGAAACUUCACAAACAAUACAAGCAUCAUCGGAUUUAAGCCGCUUCUUGAGAGGCCGCACAGUAUCUGGAUCAAUCUCUAUAGAGCCAAAUCUUUC